rnacentral:rRNA from 1 species
GAUGAACGCUAGCUACAGGCUUAACACAUGCAAGUCGAGGGACCGGCGCACGGGUGAGUAACACGUAUCCAACCUGCCCUUUACUCGGGGAUAGCCUUUCGAAAGAAAGAUUAAUACCCGAUAUAAAGGAUGGGGAUGCGUUCCAUUAGGUUGUGGGUGAGGUAACGGCGCACCAAGCCUUCGAUGGAUAGGGGUUCUGAGAGGAAGGUCCCCCACAAUGGAGCUGAGACACGGACCAAACUCGUACGGGAGGCAGCAGUGAGGAAUAUUGGUGAAUGGGCGCUAGCCUGAACAAGCCAAGUAGCGUGAAGGAUGAAGGCUUAUGGGUCGUAAACUUCUUAGAUAGAAGAAUAGGUAUUAGAUGAAUAAGGAUCGGCUAACUCCGUGCCAGCAGCCGCGGUAAUAC